rnacentral:rRNA from 1 species
AUUGAACGCUAGCGGGAUGCUUUACACAUGCAAGUCGAACGGAGUGGCGGACGGGUGAGUAAUGCCUAGGAAUCUGCCUGGUAGUGGGGGAUAACGUCCGGAAACGGGCGCUAAUACCGCAUACUAUCAGAUGAGCCUAGGUCGGAUUAGCUAGUUGGUGGGGUAAAGGCCUACCAAGGCGACGAUCCGUAACUGGUCUGAGAGGAUGAUCAGUCACACUGGAACUGAGACACGGUCCAGACUCCUACGGGAGGCAGCAGUGGGGAAUUUUGGACAAUGGGGGAAACCCUGAUCCAGCCAUCCCGCGUGUAUGAUGAAGGCCUUCGGGUUGUAAAGUACUUUUGGCAGAGAAGCGGCAUCUGCAGAAUAAGCACCGGCUAACUACGUGCCAGCAGCCGCGGUAAUAC